rnacentral:rRNA from 1 species
CCUACGGGAGGCAGCAGUGAGGAAUAUUGGACAAUGGGCGCAAGCCUGAUCCAGCCAUGCCGCGUGCAGGAAGAAGCAUCUAUGGUGUGUAAACUGCUUUUGUACAGGAAGAAACACUCCCUCGUGAGGGAGCUUGACGGUACUGUAAGAAUAAGGACCGGCUAACUCCGUGCCAGCAGCCGCGGUAAUACGGAGGGUCCGAGCGUUAUCCGGAAUCAUUGGGUUUAAAGGGUCCGUAGGCGGUUUAAUAAGUCAGUGGUGAAAUCUGGUCGCUCAACGAUCAAACGGCCAUUGACACUGUUAGACUUGAAUUAUAAGGAAGUAACUAGAAUAUGUAGUGUAGCGGUGAAAUGCUUAGAUAUUACAUGGAAUACCAAUUGCGAAGGCAGGUUACUACUUAUGGAAUUGACGCUGAUGGACGAAAGCGUGGGGAGCGAACAGGAUUAGGAUACCCUGGUAGUCCACGCCGUAAACGAUGGAUACUAGCUGUUAAAACGGNGACAAUCUAGAGUGGCUAAGCGAAAGUGAUAAGUACUACCCACCGUGGGGAGUUACGUUCGACGAAAGAAGUAGAACGUACGAAAGUAGAAGUUAGUACGGACGUAGAGACGUAGACCGACGGACGACGACGAGGGGAGGAGG